rnacentral:rRNA from 1 species
GUAGGUGGCAAGCGUUGUCCGGAAUUAUUGGGCGUAAAGCGCGCGCAGGCGGUUCUUUAAGUCUGAUGUGAAAGCCCACGGCUCAACCGUGGAGGGUCAUUGGAAACUGGAGAACUUGAGUACAGAAGAGGAAAGCGGAAUUCCACGUGUAGCGGUGAAAUGCGUAGAGAUGUGGAGGAACACCAGUGGCGAAGGCGGCUUUCUGGUCUGUAACUGACGCUGAGGCGCGAAAGCGUGGGGAGCAAACAGGGAUUAGAUACCCUGGUAGUCCACGCCGUAAACGAUGAGUGCUAAGUGUUAGGGGGCUUCGCCCCCCUUAGUGCUGCAGCUAACGCAUUAAGCACUCCGCCUGGGAGUACGGCCGCAAGGCUG